UGUAUCGCAAUGAUUAGCGGGUUGGACUUCUAAUCCAAAAGUCGUAGGUUCGAAUCCCCCAAAG